rnacentral:tRNA from 1 species
GGAGAGAUAGCACGUAACUGGUAGCGUCGCCGGCUGUAACCCGGUUGUCCUAACGGAUCUUGGAGGUUCGAGUCCUUCUCUCUCCACCA